rnacentral:rRNA from 1 species
AGAGUUUGAUCCUGGCUCAGAUUGAACGCUGGCGGCAUGCCUUACACAUGCAAGUCGAACGGUAACGCGGGGCAACCUGGCGACGAGUGGCGAACGGGUGAGUAACGCAUCGGAACGUGCCCAGUAGUGGGGGAUAGCCCGGCGAAAGCCGGAUUAAUACCGCAUACGACCUACGGGUGAAAGCGGGGGACCGUAAGGCCUCGCGCUAUUGGAGCGGCCGAUGUCAGAUUAGGUAGUUGGUGGGGUAAAAGCCUACCAAGCCGACGAUCUGUAGCUGGUCUGAGAGGACGACCAGCCACACUGGGACUGAGACACGGCCCAGACUCCUACGGGAGGCAGCAGUGGGGAAUUUUGGACAAUGGGCGCAAGCCUGAUCCAGCCAUGCCGCGUGCGGGAUGAAGGCCUUCGGGUUGUAAACCGCUUUUGUCAGGGAAGAAACGCUCCGGGCCAAUACCCCGGGGUAAUGACGGUACCUGAAGAAUAAGCACCGGCUAACUACGUGCCAGCAGCCGCGGUAAUACGUAGGGUGCAAGCGUUAAUCGGAAUUAC